UACGUAGGGUGCAAGCGUUAAUCGGAAUUACUGGGCGUAAAGCGUACGCAGGCGGCUUUGCAAGACAGGUGUGAAAUCCCCGGGCCUAACCUGGGAACUGCAUUUGUGACUGCAUGGCUAGAGUUUGUCAGAGGGGGGUGGAAUUCCACGUGUAGCAGUGAAAUGCGUAGAGAUGUGGAAGAACACCGAUGGCGAAGGCAGCCCCCUGGGAUGUGACUGACGCUCAUGUACGAAAGCGUGGGGAGCAAACAGG
rnacentral:rRNA from 1 species